AAAAUUUUCAUUUUUAAAUUCAUUUGAAAUAUAUACCCUCUUUAGAGAAAGCAUUGUUGCAGAGAGAGACCAGAGCUCAAGAUGUCAAAUAAAAUGGAAAUGAAAUUGUUUAGCCGUGAAAAUCUCGAGAAUUUAGGAUUUUCAAUUAGAUCAAAACGGUCUAAGGGAUAACAAGAUUUUACAGAGCACGGCUGAAGAAGCAACUGCUCAAAGAAGAGACAAGGAGACUAAGCUUGGCUUUUACUUGAAGCAACUUUUUGUGGAGGUUGAACUUUCUACUGUUAUUUUUGAGCAGAAGUUUCCCCGUUUCCCCUAAAUCUCGCCUCUUCUUCCCUUGCAAAUUUACAAAAUCCGACCUCUGUUUGUAAUUUUACUGCAGGCUAAAUUAUUGCAAGUGCCAUCACAUCGAUGAGCAUUGGAAGGAAAAUUGGAACCAACUUUUUUGUAAUCGAGCAUUAGCAUGGAACCACAAGCACCUUAAACAUCUUUUACUAAGAUCAAUGCAGUUCUAUGCAAACCUAGAGCAAAAUAAUGGCGAUUUCAGUGCUUGUAUUAGCGAGGCUCAUUUCUUACCUGUUUAAAACGCAUCCUCGUAUCGUGCUAGGUUAUAAUAACUCUUAGUUCUUUACUGGUAUGUAGGAGGUUGUGUCUGUUCCGGGUUUCCCUAAGAAACGUUUUUGCUGCUGAUGGAAUUGGCAUUAAAAAUGUUUGUAUUCAUCUUCAGGAAUUUAUAAACAGAUGAGAAACACAUAGCGUUGUUCUAAUCUCUAAGCGUUUUUCAUCUGAAGGAAAACUCAAGGGCAAACUUGAAUGAAAGUAUGAGGGCAUGGACUGGUUUCGAGUUGUUCCUGCUUGUUUUUCAAAGGGUUAAUCUUUGGCUGUUUUGUUCAAAGAUUGGUUAUAGUUUUACUUUCGAAAUUCUUCCCUUAAAUUAUUUUUUGUUUUGUAAACUCUGAGCGUUUAGCCUGCAGAAAUUUCAUGGCACAUGCUGUACAAUUAAUAAGCAGCAGAGCAAAAACCAAUACCUAACAUGGCUCAUUUUGUUUGUAUAUGUAAAUUCACACCAAAGAUCAAACAUGCCUCACGGGUUCUUGGCGAGGCAUGUUCUUUCUUUUGACCAUAUUAUUUAUUUUUAUCCUCUCUUAUGCAGAGGAUUAACACUUGUAUUGGCAUAGAACACACCGCAAUAAAGCAAUUUGAAUAGGAGAAGUUUACAUGGCUCUUGUAAUCGUUUAUUUAAUGUAGAUUCUGGUAAUGCUCAGCCCCUGUUUUGUGCUUUAUAUUGAUAAUGUGAAAAAGGAAGGAAGAUUGAAUGACAUUAUAUUAAUGUCUACAAAUUACCAGUAAGUUACUGGGAGUCAAAAAUUAAUAAAGUUUUAGCAACCAUCUGUAUUGUCAAUCAUGAGUUUGGUUUUCAACUUUGAAAGCUUAUGAUGGUCUGCUCUCACAAGGAGGACCAAAAUUAGAAAAUAGUAAAGUUUCAAACUACUUCGUGCUAUAUCAUUGAUGUAAAUAACAGAACUGACAGAUGUCAAUAACUGCAAGUGUGAACAGAGGAAUGAGUGAAUAUGGAGAAACAAAUGUAUGCCGACAAAUGAGGAGAUUUGAAAUUCACUCUGGAUCUUCCAACUCUUUGUGCCUUCUCUGAUAUGACCAUGACUACUCUAAUCUUUGGUGUUUUUAGUAAAUUAUUUUAGAUGCCUUUUCAUCCAUAAUGGAGAAAAAAAAUGAGUUAGUUGCACCAUGGGUCCAUGGGGAAAUAGAACACAACUUGAAGAUGUUUCUGGGCAGAAAAUAGGGGAGUUUCUGGCUUUUUUUUUUGUGGAACCACCGGUUCUUAAUUUGGAACAAAGAUUUCCUUUGUUAGAUUGAGAAUGGCAAAUCAUGCUUUAACUUGGUUCAAAAGUCUAUAAUAUUCUAUGGCUUAAAGAAGUUAAGCUCCUAUUAGUUCUUGAGAUCAAUUUAAGAAUUGACCAAGAAACAAUUUUACCCAAAUUAUUAAAAUAUGUUGAGGGGCACUUUUUGAAAUAGUAAGAAGGACAAAAUGUGCAAGAGUUACAAAGGAGGUUUGUCCAAAUGAACAAGGAUCUGCAAGAUGAGAUAUUAAUGAAAUAAAUCAGAGGCCUUCAUAGACAUGUUUGGAGGCCCAUAUUUCUCUCUAAUAAGCAGGUGCUUCAAGAAGGCCAAUCCUUUUGAAGAUUAUGUCAUCAUAUCUUUUGGGCGUAUAUCUCCAAUAAUCUUUGAUCAAAUUUACAAGUUCUCCUAACCAUUUUUUCAAUUACAAUGAUCUAACAACACUUCAAUAAUCUCUAUAAAUAGGAAUUCUGAUCCUGAUUGGUGAAAACUGCUGCUGCUGCAGCAAGUUCUCUAGUCAAAGUGUCUUCCAUUGGAUUAUCUUCUCCUUUUAUCCAUUAAAUUUUAAAAUUAUAGUUCAUCAACUCAAAAUUCCAUCAUGCAACUCUUCCUUAAGACAUCUUUAUCCAGCUUUUUCUUCAUGAGAUUCCUAAUGGCUUGACUAUUUGUUCUACUUCUGAAUAUGAAAUAUUUUGGCAAUAAAUAUAUUUUGAAUUUCAAUAUUCCUCUUUUGACUGCCAGAAUUUCCUUUAAAUAAAUAUGAUAGCCUUGUUCUGUCUAAGAAAAGGGGCCUGCACAUUAUAUAUGGGAUCUUGAAAAAUAGCUGUAUUCAUAUCCAUAUCCUUAUUCAUGUCCAUGCAACUUUGUUGAUGAUACCCUUUAGGUUUAAGGUUUUAUGACUUUCUUUCAGAUACCUAUAGAAAACUUAUAAAAGUGACGGACAUGCAGGAUUAGCAGAAUACAACCCAAACUG